CUAUACCACAAUGCAUUGCUUCUCAUUAAUAUUCGGAAUUGAACUUUGCGAGUCUUUGAGAGAUGUUUGUCGAAAAAUUGUGGUUUUCUAUCGCGAAUUUUCACUCUGAAAAUUUUGAUUUUUGGAAGGUACGUUUUUAUAAUUGUUUUAUUUGUGACCUUAAUUGCACGAUUUUUGUUUUAUGUGGUUGUCGUAUCAUGCUUCAGUGAUGUUAAUCACGCAUUGAAUUACCCUUGGUUUCGGGUCAGUGCACAUGUUACAAAAGUGCCUCCGAUACUCGCCGGGGGUUAAAUACUUUUUAAAUCAGGAAAUUCAACAAAAUUUGCAGCAUCGAAUUCAGAAAGGGUUAUUCUUUCUAUUGAUACUUCAAAACACAAAUAACCCCCUCGAACUGACGAGUUAUCGCGGUUUGAAAAUGGGGUAUAUUUCGGGGCUAUAAAAGAAAUGGCAUUGAUAUACGCCGGGGGUUAAAUAGUUUAUAAAUCGGGAAAUAAACCUAAAUUCACAUCAUUGAAUUCGGGGAGGGUCACGGUUCUAGCUGAUACUUUAAAACAUUAAUAAUCCCCUCCAACCGACGAGUUAUCGCGGUUUGAAAAUGGGGUAUAUUCCCGGUAUAGUGCCAUGACACGAAAACGGCUUUGAUAUAUGCAGGGGGUUAUUAGGUUUAUAAAUCGGGAAAUUUAAUAAAAUUCACAUCAUUGUAUUCAGUAAGGGUUACUCUUUCUAUUGGUACCUUAAAACAUAAAUAACCCCCUGAAACCGACGAGUAAAUCGUUGUUUGAAAAUGGGGUAUUUUUACUUUUGUUGUCACCAAUCGCGGGAAAAGAGGAAUUCUACAGGAAAUAUGGCGCGAAUGCAACGUAAACAAGCCAGCUUUUCUAUAAACGUAUUGUUCCUGAUUGUAUCAUUUGUUUUUAUAGAAUUCGACUUAUUCGAGUUUAUUGGAGCAAAAAAUGGAACUAUUAAUGAUGGCGAUGUUGUCAUUGUUGAUCAUGAUUUAGAAAAUGAGGAAACUCAAAUUUAAUACUGAUACGCCAGGAAAAUAUCUCGUGUGGAGAGUUCAUCAUUCACUCCAUUCAAUCGAGCUUUGUUUCAAAGUCCUGGCACAUCAGCAAAGGUAUAAUAAAAAAAAAUAUGGUAGACGAAAUUGUACUUAUAAAUGUACUGUUAUUCUUUGCUAUUUUAUUCUUAUAAAUUGUCUUUGACUCUUUGUAUAUUCAGUGUAAAGCUGGAGUAAAUACGAGCAACAAAAUUGCUGCAACUUGCAACAAAAUCUGAUUUCAACGCAUGUACGAGGCAACAUGUGUCAACAUUUCUAUGACUUGUAUUAAGUUAUGUGUCAACAUCUCCACUUAACAUCUGUUGAAAUCAGAUUUUGUUGCAAAUUGCAGCUAUUUUGUUGUCUGUAUUUCUCCACCUUAAUACCUCUGUGUAACAUUAUUCUGCAGUGUAACAUUAUUCAUGUAUGUUUAUUCAUAUGUCAUCUGCGCCCCAAUUUCCAUUUUAGUAAAUGACAUACUUUUUUGUAGUUUCCUAGCAGAAAGAUCAGGCUGACUCUGUCAGAGAAGUCACCAGUGAAAAAAACAUAAAUGGACCUUUGAGGAAAAUAAAGCUUUGAUCAAGUUGAUAUCUAUUGCCAAAAAAGAUCCAUGGAUCUGGAGAAAUUUUGUCCAUAACAAAAUAAAAUAACAACAAUUUACCGCAUUAGCCUAGUAAUCUAUGUCACUGUUAUAAUGGGUCGUUCCAGAAAAGAUCCAUACUCCCCCCACAGAGGAAAUUUCUGCCGUCCGGAGGGGGAGGAGAGAAAAAAUUGUUUCUGAUAAUAGUAAAUGUAUUAGGACAUCCGAAGGGGGUAGGGGGGUUAACUUCCUAUUUCCUCCGUGGGGGCAGUAUGGAUGUUUUCUGGAAUGACCCAAUUGUAGGGAUCCAUAAUAAAAUAAAUAUGUAGGAAUCCAUAAUAAAAUAACAACAAUUUACAAUAUACUUCUUGUGUGUGUUGGUUUUAUUUACUCAGGUGAAUAUGUUUGUGAUGUUACUCUGAGUAUGCAUCCACACCGAGCUGAGCUCAGUUGGUAGAGCAUAAUUGGACUAAUAUCCCAAAGAUGGCAACUUCGAUUCCCACCAUGGUCAGGCAAACUUUUCAGCUUGCCCGGUGUGGAUGCACACUCAGAAUAACAUCACAAACAUCAAUUUACAAUAUUCUAGUAAUCUAUGUCACUGUUAUAAUUGUUUCUUGGAUCAUCUCUGUCCCAUGGUCCACUUUUCGCAAUAAGCAAUGCUGCACUGUAGAGUAAUAGUACCCACCAAGCACACUGAAUUUAUUGGUUGUAGAUCACAGUUAUAUCCAGUUUGCCCUUGUAAAUUUAUUAGUGACAGCACACUGUCCAAAUCUUCAUUAACAGUAUCUGGACCUUGAGGUUGAGAAGGUGGCAAUGGCAGAAUAUCUAAAUCCCACAAAAUAACAUUCCCAAAGAUAAAAGAUUGUCCUGUUCCAUCUCGUCUUAGAUCACUGAGGUCAGAGAACUGCAAUAUAUAAAAACAAUCUU